rnacentral:ncRNA from 2 species
ACCAUUAAAUAAAUAUUCGGUUCUGGUGGGGAGCAGUCACCAGAGGUAACGGGGAAAGUAUACCUGCAAUCUUUCGUAGGUGAACGGUGUAAGUCCGGCGCUGUCCCGCAACUGUGAAGGAAAGAAAACUCUUGUAACUUUCCCAGUCAGAACGCCCGCCGAAAUUGACGAUUCUCA